rnacentral:tRNA from 5 species
GGGAGUAUAGCCAAGUGGUAAGGCACGGGUCUGCAAAACCCUCACCCCCGGUUCAAAUCCGGGUACUCCCUCCA